rnacentral:rRNA from 1 species
UACAGAGGUCCCAAGCGUUGUUCGGAUUCACUGGGCGUAAAGGGUGCGUAGGUGGUGAGGAAAGUCGGAUGUGAAAUCUCCGGGCUUAACCCGGAAAUGGCAUUGGAGACUACCUUGCUAGAGGUUUUGAGGGGGGACUGGAAUUCUCGGUGUAGCAGUGAAAUGCGUAGAUAUCGAGAGGAACACCAGUGGCGAAGGCGAGUCCCUGGAAAACACCUGACACUGAGGCACGAAAGCUAGGGGAGCAAACAGG